GACGGAGGGUGCAAACGUUGUUCGGAUUUACUGGGCGUAAAGGGCGCGUAGGCGGCCACGACAAGUCACUUGUGAAAUCUCCGGGCUUAACCCGGAACGGUCAAGUGAUACUGUCGGGCUAGAGUGCAGAAGGGGCAACUGGAAUUCUCGGUGUAGCGGUGAAAUGCGUAGAUAUCGAGAGGAACACCUGCGGCGAAGGCGGGUUGCUGGGCUGACACUGACGCUGAGGCGCGAAAGCUAGGGGAGCGAACGGG
rnacentral:rRNA from 1 species